CCGGCCUAGGCCCAGCUCCCGCUCCCAGGUCUCUCCUCAGCUGCUACUCCUGCCUCCACCCGCCCUGCCUUCUUGGGACCCCGCCCCGCACAGGCCAGGCCGGCUCCUAUUGCUCCGUCUCGCCGUCACGCUGAGCUCACUUUCUUCAAUUGGGUUGCUUGUCUGUCACUCAAGAAGGGGUGGGCGCAGCUGCCGGUGGAGGCGAGAAACUCCGGCCCUUCCGCCCAGCAAGUAGAGGCGUCUUGAAGAAACAGGAGCCUUUUCCCCGCCGCAGCCCUGUGGUGGAGGGAGCACCCUGAUCCCUUUGCUGCAGACGAGGAAACUGAGGCCCAGAGAGGGUCCGAGACCUUACAGCUGGUGCGGGGCAGAGCAAGACGCCAACCUAUGCCUGUUGGAUUCCAAAGUUUAUACUUUAAUCGUUCGUCUGGCAGAUUCUUACAACAAUCCUGGGAGGUGUGUAUUCUGUUGUCCCUUUGCAGAUAAAGAAACUGAUACUCAGCAAAGAGACUACGUAGUGACUACCGCUUAUAGGGCACUGCACAGUCUGCAAAGCAGUUUUACGUGUUGUUUCAUUUGAUCCUCAAAACAUCUUGGAAUUAAAGACAUUUUUGUUAGUCCUAUUUUACAGGUGAAUAAAGUGAGGCUUGGGGAGGCUGAGGCUUAGCCAUAGCUAACAUUGCUAAAGCUCUGGCAGGGGUUACUCUUUCUCCUUACCGGCUGGCCCCAGCCUUGACCUUGUGAUGAUAAUGAUGAUGUGCUAGGGGACGGAGCCACAGCACAGAAGGUUUCGAAUGUUACCUGCUGACUUGGGACACUCAUUUCAUACUCUUACGGGAAAGGGAAAUUAUUUUCUCUGUUCCUUUUAUUACUAACUUUGAUAGCAGGGAGGGCUGUUAGAGCCAAACCUGCACUCACACAACAC